GAUGAACGCUAGCGACAGGCUUAACACAUGCAAGUCGAGGGGCAGCAUGAGGUAGCAAUACCUUGAUGGCGACCGGCGCACGGGUGAGUAACGCGUAUGCAACCUGCCCGAUACCGGGGUAUAGCCCAUGGAAACGUGGAUUAACACCCCAUAGUACUUUUAUCCUGCAUGGGAUGUGAGUUAAAUGUUCAAGGUAUCGGAUGGGCAUGCGUCCUAUUAGUUAGUUGGCGGGGUAACAGCCCACCAAGACGAUGAUAGGUAGGGGUUCUGAGAGGAAGGUCCCCCACAUUGGGACUGAGACACGGUCCAAACUCCUACGGGAGGCAGCAGUGAGGAAUAUUGGUCAAUGGACGUAAGUCUGAACCAGCCAAGUCGCGUGAGGGAAGACUGCCCUAUGGGUUGUAAACCUCUUUUAUAAGGGAAGAAUAAGUUCUACGUGUAGAAUGAUGCCUGUACCUUAUGAAUAAGCAUCGGCUAACUCCGUGCCAGCAGCCGCGGUAA
rnacentral:rRNA from 1 species